rnacentral:rRNA from 1 species
GACGAACGCUGGCGGCGUGCCUAAUACAUGCAAGUAGAACGCACAGUUUAUACCGUAGCUUGCUACACCAUAGACUGUGAGUUGCGAACGGGGGAGUAACGCGUAGGUAACCUGCCUGGUAGCGGGGGAUAACUAUUGGAAACGCUAGCUAAUACCGCAUAAUGUUAAUUAUGGCAUGAUAAUUAAUUGAGAGGUGCAAUUGAACCACUACCAGAUGGACUUGCGUUGGAUUAGCUGGUAGGUGAGGUUACGGCGCACCUAGGCGACGAAACAGAGCCCACCGGCGAGGGUGAGCGGCCACCCUGGGACGGAGACACGGCCCAGACUCCUACAGGAGGCAGCAGUAGGGAAUCGGCGGCAAGGGACGAAAGUCUGACCGAGCAAGGCGGCGUGCGUGAAGAAGGUCUUCGGAUCGUAAAUCUCGGUUGUAAGAUAAGAACGGGUGUGCGAGUGGAAAGUUCACACUGUGACGGUAUCUUACCAGAAAGGGACGGCUAACUACGUG